CCUACGGGAGGCAGCAGUGGGGAAUAUUGGGCAAUGGGCGAAAGCCUGACCCAGCAACGCCGCGUGAAGGAAGAAGGCUUUCGGGUUGUAAACUUCUUUUGACAGGGAAGAGCAGCAGACGGUACCUGUCGAAUCAGCCACGGCUAACUACGUGCCAGCAGCCGCGGUAAUACGUAGGAGGCAAGCGUUAUCCGGCAUGACUGGGCGUAAAGGGUGCGUAGGUGGGUUGGCAAGUUGGUAGCGUAAUCCCGGGGCUCAACCUCGGUGCUACUACCAAAACUGUUGAACUUGAGUGCAGGAGGGGUGAAUGGAAUUCCCAGUGUAGCGGUGGAAUGCGUAGAUAUUGGGAAGAACACCAGCGGCGAAGGCGAUUCACUGGACUGUAACUGACACUGAGGCACGAAAGCGUGGGGAGCAAACAGGAUUAGAUACCCCAGUAGUC
rnacentral:rRNA from 1 species